UUCCCUCUCAAAGUUUCAAAACCCAGGCUGACUAGUCACUAGGGGUGAUAUUCAGACAACACAAUUUCUUAAUUGUGUUGUCUGAGUAAUCUGUGUUUGACUUUUUUAUGUUAACUCUCCCUUUCUCUUUCUCUCCCAACGAUUGUAGUCCCAUUCUCUCUCUCUCUGUCUCCAUCUCUUUCUUUUGCUUUCCCAAACCUUCAAAAACCAACAACUUCCCCAACAGACCACUGCAAUCAGCCUCAUCUCUACGGUGCCUCCGCCUUUUCCUCUUCUCGCUCAACCCUCCAUUCAGAUCCAGUCCUCGGAAGGAGACGGUGGUUUUUCAAUUUGGGCGUUUAGGGUUCUUCUAGUUUUGGGGUUUGCCUGGUUUUGGGGUUCUUUUGGUUUCGGAGGGGAGAGAGUCCACCUGAUCCACUUUCUCUCUCCCUAUCAUCCACUCAUUCUCUCACGCCUUCUCUGCUCAAAAACCCAUAUCUGUCUUCAAACCAAACCCUUGUCGGACCGCCUCCCCUACUCGUUGAACUCUUCUUACUCCGAUUCUGGCCAAAGAGAGGUCGUCGAAGCCGCUCGCUUUUGGUCGCGUGCUGCACUUCGUCGUCGCCGCUAUGUUCAAGAGGAAGCUCAGAGAGCCCAAGGGGGAGAAUGUCACUCUUGGACCUGCUGUCCAUAAUGGAGAGUAUGUACGUUUUUGGUGUUGCUCACAUCUUUGCCUCAUUCAAUGAUACCUUCAUUCAUGGAGAUGUCCUCUUCAUAAUGCUAUUGUUUGGAUGGCUGGUACAGCUCUAUUUGCAGGUUUAGUAGGCAUGGAUCUGUAUGGUCCUUCUUUACUCAUCAAGUGGGUAUAAAUUAGGUGAGUUUUCAAAAGUUAUAAUGAAAUUGACUGAAGUAAGGGAAGAAGGCGGUAAAGUGAAACCAGUUAUUUUAUCAAGUGAUUCAGGACAUGAGGAGCCAAUAAAGCAAAAAAAAAGAAGGAAACUGAUAUACAAGAAACAAUGCAAUAUUAGCUUGAUAAGCAUCAGGACAAGAGGAGCCAUUAGAGCAAAAAAAGAAGGAAAUUUAUAUAUAGGGAACAAUGCAGUACCAACUUGAUAUGCUAGACUGUUUGAAGAAAGGUAUGUUAUAUAUGUUAACCUUAUUCCAUAUUCCCAUUGCAGUUGUCAAAAUGUUUUCUUGAUUAUUGUGUCUUACUACAAGUAAUAUAGUUUGGUUUUUUAUUACGUCCUUCAAUUUUAUUCUUCUUUAGUAUGAGUCAUGUGAUCACAGAUAAAGAAAAUCACCAUAAUACAUUUAUAUGCUAUUUACUUCUGAACAGAUGAUGAGGAAGAUGGUACAAUAUCUGCGUUACAUGAUCUAGAAGCUAAAGAGUCUAACUGAGUACAUACAUAUUAACACCUGAGUUUCAAUAUGUUAUA